rnacentral:rRNA from 1 species
GAUGAACGCUGGCGGCGUGCCUAAUACAUGCAAGUCGAGCUAACGGACGAGAAGCUUUCUUCUCUGAUGUUAGCGGCGGACGGGUGAGUAACACGUGGAUAACCUACCUAUAAGACUGGGAUAACUUCGGGAAACCGGAGCUAAUACCGGAGGAUAUUUUGACCCGCAUGGUUCUAAAGUGAAAGACGGUCUUGCUGUCACUUAUACAUGGAUCUGCCCUUCAUUAGCUAGUUGGUAAGGUAACGGCUUACCAAGGCAACGAUGCAUAGCAGACCCCAGAGGGUGAUCGGCCACCUUGGAUCUGAGACACGGACCAGACUCCUACGGGAGGCAGCAGUACGGAAUCUUCCGCAAUGGGCGAAAGGCUGACGGAGAAACGCGGCUAGACUGAUGAAGAAGUGCGGAAGCUAAAGUGCAGACAGAAGGGAAGAACAUAAUUGGAAGUAACUGAGAACAACUUGACGGUACGUAAGAAGAAAGCCACGGCUAACGACGUG